UCUGUUAGUGGGUUAUUUUAUCAGUAAGGUGGAUCGUCUAUUUCUUGGAAUUCCAAGAAACAGACCUCUCUCUUUAUCGUCUGCGGAAUCGGAAUACAGAUCUAUGAGAAAGUGGGUUAUUAUCGAAUUUUUAGUUUUGAGGUAACGGAGUUUAAUGACCUCUGCAAAUUGUACCGAAAUUAGAGGGGAUAUUCAAACCUCCAUAAUUUGAUAAAAUUUGUGGGGGCAUAUUGACCUCCACUAUAAAAUUUUAAAAAAAAA